UUAGUCCUCUAUAAAUUAAGUCAAGAAGAUAUGUUCAUAUGUGAAAACAAUUUAUAGAUUUGAUGCAGAAUUUGUGUCAUUUACCAUGGAAAUUUGUCAAGGGAAGUCUGGCUGGAAAGUCUCUCCAGCAUUUGUACUUAUGGCUGAAGGAGCUAGGGUCUCCAUAGAACUGAGUUUUCAGGAUCUCAUCUUUCACGAUUACACACGUGGCACGUUGUGUUCCGUACAGAGACUGCACAAGCUCAGCAGCUGUUUUCCUCAUUUCACAAAGUGUAUGGAAGAACUAAAGGGAGAUCAAGAAAGAGUAAUGAGGAUGAUUAAGGAUAUGAAAAAAAAAUCUGUUUUCAAAGAUUAGGGUUUUUUUUCUAACCUCAGAGGAUGUUAAAAAAGGGUAUGCAGUAGAAUAAUUGUCUAGGUACAGUAGAUUAGAUGACUGUGUUCUCUGUCAUCUAACGUAAGCACAGGAACAUCAAGGAAAAUUAAAAAGUAACAUUCAAAACUGAUAAAAUACAAGCUAUAAUUACCUCUACUUAUAAAACUUGUAAUUAGAGUAUGGAAUUCACUGCCAAAUCACAAAGGCCAAGAAUGCAACAAGAUUAAAAAGAGUAUUGCAUUUUUAGGGAUAACAAGAAUAUUCAAGAGAUAUGGUUGAAUGAUAAAAAUAAAAGAAGGGCUAUUAGGUCUCAGGUUUCAAGGUGGAAACCAAAUUUCUGUUGAUUAGAGUGAAUUGGUACUGAUACUGGGAAAUUAGUGAAUAAGUAAUAUUAGUAAGGAGGAGAUAGUCCACCUCUGCCUGCCCUCGAGCCUUUGUAUAGAGAGAUCCAGUGUGCUGGAUUACACAGUUUGUAUAGUAAGGCAGUUCUUAACAAAGUCCUACAUUUGGCUGAUUUAAUUCUCCUUGUUUCAGUAGUGUUAUAAUUAAAAUGCUAUAAUAAUGUGAAAAAUUGAUGCCAAUGUUUUGUUCAGUUGAAUAAAAACAUGGGAUGAUUAUUUUUCAACCUGCAACCUAUGUACCAGUGAAAAUAACAAAUCCUAUGUACGUAAUAAGUAGCAAGUAGGUCAAUAGGGAAUCCUUCAAUUAAAGUUAGAGAAACACUGGAACAGAUGAUCUCUUAAGAUUCUCAGUAUGAGCUGAAGAAAAAGAACAUUGCUUCUGCAUCUGUCUUUAGUUUUAAAUCAGUGUUAAAGAUCGAACUGGGUUUUGUUCUACCUUCUUCUUUCAAAAUUAUUGUAUGAAAAUUUUGGAAUGUGAAAUGUAAAUAUACAAAAACCUUAGCUGAACUAUGAACAUCUUAGCUAUAUAUAAUUCUAUUGGAUCUGUGACCUGAUCCAAAAGUCACAUUGCUGUGUUUGCAAUAAAAUAAUUCAGGAUUUUUUUACCAUAAACUAAUUCCAAGUCAGUGGCAGCCACUAAUGUGGCUUUUUAUACUUGAGAACAGGCAGAAGAAUUUAAAUGAUUUUCAGUGAUGAUGAUUAUAUAUAUCAGUGGCAACUUGCAAAAAGAGUUGUUUUCAGAGGGAAUCAAUGGUUGGAAAUGUCUUCACUUGAUGCCUUGAGUUUUGACACUAAAUUUAAAUCAAAAUUAUAAUACCACCUCGUAAGGUCUUUUGCUACUAACUUCUAAAAAUAGGCUUAGAGUGGAUAGUGAUGUGCUGUGAUGUGGGUGGGAGAUUUCAUUGUAUAAUUGUUAAAAACGAUUGUGGUUGCUAUGUGGACAUGAUGAAUUUCGCCUCCUUAAGUGUAAUAGGUGGAUGCACUUUGGAACUUAAAUUUUGAAGCAUUUUUAUGGCAAAAAUGCUCCUGGAUGAGGAGUGCAUGAACAGUGUAGAAGAAUUCAUACUUUUCCUGCUGUUUUUACAUUGCUCUAAAGUUACUCUAAAGUUAACUCUACUGUAAUUACAUAAAUAAAAUCUGUACUUUGAACCACGUACAGGAGGGAACCAUCAGAUUACUUUGAGUGAGUGUGUCUCAGCUUUCUGAUGGACAAGCUUUCAGCAUUCCUGAUCUUGGCUAAGCUAAAGGAAUGUAAUUAUUAACUAGUGAAACCACAGUCCUACACGUGCUUUUCACAUGCAGUCUCUUCUAGAACUGUCACAAGUCACUGCUGCUUUCAUUAGGAAUAUCCAUAGAUAUUUUUACAAAAGAUCUUGAUUACUAUGCUAAUGCAUGUAAUUGACACCAGAAGUUCAUAUGGAAAAGAAGGUUAUGUAUAUUUUUCUGUAAGAAUAAUUACUCUUGUCAGCAUAGGCCACACUUUUUAUUUUUCAAGUGCAGAUCAAGCCUAUGAGAAGAAAAAAAUCCAUUUAACAUAUACAUAAGGUUGAUACCUGCUUGGUUAAUACACUCAUAAAAUCAGAAUUCAUGAAGUUAAAAAAUGGGAAGGUAUGGAUAUCAUUAAAUGAUUUUUGAUCAAAGCUCAGCUGAAGGCACUGCAACAUUUAUGCUAUAAUUAGAAACUUACUGACUGUCCUUGCUCAGUGUUUUAUUCAUAGAUAACUAAGGUAUGUACCAUAAACCACAUAUGACUCUGUGAUCAAAGGACAUUUUUCUGUAUAUCUUAUCAGUAGCCAUAUACUAAUUUUAUGAUCUUAUUUUUUUCCCUUUCUAUUGUGUUUCCAUGAACUUUGUAAAGUUUGCUUUGGCUUAUGUUAUGUUAAUCAGUGUAUCUAGUUUUUAUUUAUUUAUUUAACUCUUUAUUUAUUUAAUUGCUUCCUAAAUGUUAAAAAUUAACAAAAAAAUACUCUACAAUUUAACUUUUAUGUUAUCUGAAAGGAUGAAAUGAUUCAUAUUUCAAGCUGGCAAGUCUCCCAUGUCUGAUCGGUACACAGGAGAAGUAAGAAAAGAUAGCAAAACUGAACAACAGAAGCCAUCCAAGAUGAUAGGUCCAUUUUGAGUAUUUUAGCCAUUUUAUCUUUUGUUAUGUUUCUGUGUAUGCUUUAUUUGUGAGACUGGACAUGGAAUUUACUAGUAUUGAAUAUAAGUGGGGAGGGGCCUAAAUAUUCUGUUAGUAGCUGUGGGCAAUUAGGAGAUAAUUCCAAUAUAUGUUAUUAUUUUGGAUGUCAAUGUCUGUCUACGUAUCUAUUGGCUUUCUACUGCUGUUCAAGAAUGAUGUGAAUGUUAUGUGAGUCUUUUGUCAUUUGUUAUUAUCUACUUUGUCAUCUUCUUGUGUAAAAGUCUUUGGUAUGUUGUUUUCUGAAAUAUUAGAUGCAUGAGCCACAGGAGAAAACACAAGAAGGCAGCCUGUACUCUCUCACUUUCAGGCUGAAGGCAGGAACUCAAAGUAAAGGAGUGAAUAGAAGCAAAUCCAUGCUCAGGGCUGUAAAUAAAGCCUCACCUAAUCCCCCCAGAUGCUUGUGUACAAAAGGUAUAAAAUAUUUAUGAGAGUCUGGGUGUAGAAUGCUUUAUCUGUGGGUGAUAACAGCCCAUUUACACUAGAGCAAUCUAGGAUGUAUCUUGACAUUGUUCUCAGGACUGUUUAUGUUACUGAGCCAGAAUAAGUCCAUCACAAUGAAGUUGUAUUAACUGGUUAGCUCUGCUGGACUUCCAGGAUAUUCAACUGAAAACUUAGCAUUCUUCAGCCCUUCCCCUUUUGCUUAGAAAUGUCCUGUGAUCAUGUCCUGCAUGCCUGCUUAAGAGUGAUGCAGGUAUACUUAUUAUUCCUUGUAUCUUAUUAUUUCUUGUAUCUAAUUACAUAUUUUCUAUCUUUCUAUAUUACUUUCAUUAUGUGCCACCAGCAACCAAAGAAGAGGUAUUUGUGUAACUGGUAAAAUGCUGCUAUCCAAAUACAGUGCAGAGGGGCAAAAUGGCCCUUGACAUGAAAGUGCAUAUGAAGCAAUGUCUGCCAUCAGACUCCUCUAUACACUAUUGACAUUCAUUGACACUUGUUUGGAAGAGUCAAAGUGGAUGUGAUAACAGUGAGGUGAUGGGUGAUGUGUGGUGUCUUUCAUCAGUGACGACAGUGACAGUGGAUCACCUCCGCUAGUGCGGAGAGUUUUAUGAGCAUGGCAUGUAGGUCCUUGUUCAUCACUGGUGAGAGUGCAUAGCUAAUCGUGGUGACUAUGCUGAAAAAUAGUGUUUGGAGCUGAGAAUUUCUUCUAGCAAGUAGAGUUACUGUAUUCUUUGUUGUAGUUUCCAUGGAAAUAUAGGAGGCAUUACUUUCAGAGCAACCUACUGUCUAUAUUACUAUAAAGAAAGUCAAAUGUGAGAAACUUAAUGAUAAAUUCAUGCAUUUUGAAAAUGUGUGCAGUAGAUGGGCUGAAGAUAGUGUAUCUGUAAUUGAAAUCUAAAUACUAAUGCUUCAUAAUCUGACUGUAGUCAAAAAGAACAAGCAGUGAGACAGUGCUGUAUUGCAUACCAUGCCAUUUAUUUCCAUAUCAUGUCAUGGCAGGUCAAGUUUCUUGUGAAAUAGAAGAUCUAAAUUACUUUUGUAAAGUACAAUUCCUUAAACUAAACUGUGUAAAAGGUAUAUGUUUGAGGAUAUUUACCUAGGCCACCAGACUAAUAUUGCAUGCAUCUGCUACUUUGUGUACAGAGGUGGGAGGCUUACUGCUUCUUUCUUAAAGAAACAACAUGCCAGGAGUCUUUGUUUUCUGAAUCCUCUAGAUACAUGCCUACAGUAUGUCUUCAUAUCCUAAAGCAUUGUAUUCUAAUGGACCAAGAAGCCACUACAGACCAUGGCUAGUACUUCAGGAUUUUUAUUGUAAAUGUAAAAUCUUAUAUUGUUUUUGAUUCUGAUGGUUCCUGGUAUGCCUGCUUUUAUAGUGAAUUGCUGCAUGAACUGCUGCAUCAGCAAACAGGAUAUCUCUAACCUGUGGAGAUAGUGGGACAGAUGAACAUCCCAGAGAUGUAACUAUUUUGCAAGAACAACAAACAACCAAACAAACAAAAACACAAACAAACAAAAACAAACAACAAAACAGAUCUCCUGGAUAACUUUGUGUCACAGUAAGGUGGCAUUUCCCCACAGUUUUUGGUCUUGCUGAAAGAGUCAUUUGGUUCUGUCAAAAGCAUGAACUUACUUUUAUUCUGUCUGAAAGCAGAAGGAUAAAAGAUAGUAUAUUGAAACUUCCUGAGAUAGUUCUGUCUACAGAUGCAUGGAAACACGACUCAUCCUAAUUGUACUAUUGUAAUGAAGAAGAGAGUUGUGUUACUUUCAGAUUCUGUGGAGUUUGUGAAAAAAAUGCAGAAUGUGUGAAAGCAAAAGAACAUGGACAUGGUGUGAAGACAGUUUUCUGCACAGACUUUGGGGUAUUUACUGGCUUGAGCUCUCCAAGUGAAGCCUAAGAUAGCUAGACUGUUUACAGAUAUGCCCUGAAGUCUUGUGCUCUGAGAAACUGAGUAUCUGUCAAACACCAAAACUGAUCAGGAGCAGCCAAGUAAAGGCAGAAAGUCAAUGAUUAGGUUUACUUGAGUUGCUAUAGAACCAAAUCUUUAAGUAUUAUUUAGUGAAAGCAAGAGAUUAAAUCAGAGCUAUUGCGGUUCAGCCCUCCAUUGUUGGCAGUAUGUUUUUCUUUUCACCUUUGAGCUGACACUCAUGCUUGCCUAAGAAGGAGAUGAUCUCAGAAACACAUCUCUUUACCCUUUGUUGAAAUCUCUUGUUGAGCCACUAUUCCUUUAGGUCACUCCUACCUAUUUGUAUCUCUUCCACUUCCUGCCGUGGUUCUAAACAUCUCUAAUUCAUCAAGCCUUUUCUUUUGGAAGACAGAAUCUUCAAUGACUUGGCCUGUUGACAUGACUGAUAUCACUGAGACAUGGUGGAACAUCUCUCACAACUGAAAUGUAGGAAUAGGUGGGUAUAAACUCUUCAGGAAAGAUGGGCAAGGAAGAAGGGGAGCAAGUGUUGCCCUCUGCAUCAGUGACCACUCGGAGUCCAUGGAGCUUUGCCUGGGGAUAGAUGGGAAGCUGACGUAGAGCUUAUAGGUUAGGGUUAAAGGGGAGGGAGAGGAAGGAGACGUUGUAGUGGAGGUCUGCUACAGUUUGCCUGAUCAGAAAGACCAAGUGGAUGAGGCCCUCUACAGAUAGGAGCAGCUUCACAUUCAUAAAACAUAGUCCUCAUGGGGGACUUCAACCACCCUGAUAUGUGUUGGAGGGACAACACAGCAGUGCGCCAGAAUUCAAAGAGAUUCCUGGAAUGUGUUGAUGAUAACUUCAUCCUCCAAGUAGUACAGGAACCCAUGAGGAAAGGUGCUAUGCUGGACCUUGUCCUCACCAAUGAGGAGGGGCUGGUGAGUAAUGUGAAGCUCAAGGCCAGCUUGGCUGUAGUGACCAGGAAAUUGUGGAGUUCAAAAUCCUUAGGAUUUCAAAAAGGGUGUGCAGCAAGCCUGCUACUCUGGACUUCAGGAGUACAGAUGUUGAACUCUUCAGGGAACCGCUUGGCAGGUUGACAUGGGAGAAAGCGCUGGAGGGAACAGGGGCCCAAGACAGCUCAUCAGUAUUCAAGGACCAUCUUCUUCAAGCCCAGAAGCAGAUUUUAAGAAAAAGUUGAGAUCAUAAUUUUCAAAGCUUUCAUUUUUGAAAAUUUUCAACUGUUCAGCAAAUAAAUACAUAAAGAUACAUUUUGGACUUUUUACUGUUCUCAAUGUCUAACGUAGAAUAACAUCAUGCUACAGUCAUUUCUUCAGAGAGUUUCAAACACAGCCUAUUGGGGCACAGAAGAACAGGUUGAGAAGUGGUGUUAGAGAUGGGACUCAAAAUAAGAAGGCAUGAGUUACAGCCUACAUGUGGAGCAAGGGUUUGGGGAGGGCACUAAAUGUGUGGAUUUAGUGGGACAGAAAUAACCUCUGUAAUAAUUUAAAUGUCCUCUCUGAAAUACAUACUACAGAGUGUCACUUGAUAAUUUAUGACUUGUACCUGUUUUCCAGCACAGUUUAAAAUGUGGCCUUUGGAGUUAGAAGGAAGAAGACUAUCAUUAGACUCACUUAAAAAAAAAGUAAUAAAAGGUGGGAUUUAAACGGCUGUAUUGACAAAUCUAGCCACCUUAAGGAUUUUCUCUCUUAUAUUCUGUAGCCAGUCUCCAAGAUUAAACAUCGACUGACAACAAGAGUGAUGUGGAGCUCAGUGUUACCUUCAACUCCAAGAACAAAUGCAGUAGAAUCUUUUUGUUAAUCCUGAAGUUAAAUGCUUGCCAUUUAAUAAAUACUUAUUUUGCAAUGUAAGAAGAUGGCUUAAAGCAAAUAAAACCACUUCUGAUAAAUUCAGAGCUUGAAUGUUUUCUUAAGCAACAACUUUGGAACCUUGUCAGGGUUCCCUGCUGGGAAGUGCAUGAGGUGCAUGUGAUUUAGGGUAAGCUCUUAAAAACAAUAUUUCUAUGAAUUGAUAAAGUACUGCAAAUUUAUCCUGUUUAGAAAUUAUUUACUUUAAAAUUAUGUCUUUUGACAGUGCUCUGUAGGAAGUGUCUCAGCAAGAAACAGAUACAUGGCCUUGAAAAAAAAGAAUAUAGAGCUAAAGGCAGAAGCUGUAGUAGAUAUUAAACAUUUUUUGUGAGCAGAACGUAUCAAUUUGUGCAAUACCCAGUUACUGUCAUGGCUAUGUAAUAAGAACCUACCUACAGUAGUUAGUAAGGACGUACCUUGUUUACUGACUGCUGUAGGUAUGUUAGUAUUGCAUAGAUCCUGUAGCUUGAAUACCAAAAUGUAUUAAAGCUGGGACAGUCUUUCUGAUCCAUGCAUUUGAUGGAAUCAAGAAGAAUGACUGGAACAAAAGGUGUUCUUGUAUGUCUUCAUGAAGAGUUAAAAUAGGUUAUUUUCACACAGCCAACUCUGUCCACUAGGCCUAAAAUCUCAAAUCUCGCUCAUCCAUCCCUAAUGCAGAUAGAUGUGAGCAAAGGGACAUCAAGAUCAUAGUCUUGUAGGGGUUGGAAGGGUCCUCUAGAGAUCACCUAGUCCAACCCUCCUGCUAAUGCAGGUCUCCUACAGUUGGUUACACAGGACAGUGUGCAGGUAGUUUUUGAGUAUCUCCAGAAAAGGAGACUCCAAAGCCUGGGGUCCUGAUGCUGCUAAACAAUAAGUCAAGGUUUGGUCUUAGUAGCCUAGACAAGGAGGAACAAAGUAGUAAGAUACUAUGGCAUUUAGGAAAUCAUAGACUAAAUAACUGUGUAAAAGCCUUUAGGUGGUCACCUAAUGGAUCUUCAUUUCUAGUAGCAAAAGCAAUCUUAACAUGUUGUAUAAGGAAAGGAUUCUUACCACUCUUCAGCUGUUUUGUUUUGUUUUGUUUUGUUUUUUCCAAAUAACUUCCUCAUCUGAAGAAAGAAACAGGGGCAAAAGCUAAGGGCGAAGACUAAAAAGAGGACCUAAAUCUCCUGACCUCUGGGCUGCUGCCUUAUCCCCAGCGCUGCCUGAUGUUGUCCUUUCACUCUUUGCAACAAGUUACUAUUAGCUGCAUGCUUUUGUAUUACUGAUACAGGAAAAUAUAAGGGUGAAAUACUGAGCUAGUUUGUUUAUGAGCUGUCAAAACACAACACUUGGAGACAUAAAAUGCCUUGCAUAUGCACCAUCUAAAAAAGAUGAAAACUGAGCUACCAGAGACUUAUCUGAAGUCUUCAGUAAGCUUCUACUUAUAAAAAUUCUGCUCCCUAAACCCAAUUUAAUUAUCCAGACUAUCCAUAUGUCCCUGAGCUUGGUGGAAAUACUCUUGGGUGAUGAUACUGCUGUAGUCAGAAAUGAUCAACUUAUCCAAUAUGUCAGUUAGAGCAGUAGCAGAUGUUUUUGACUUUCAAAGGGUGAGGAAAUUGCUGACUAGUAAACCUGAUUUUCUUUGUUGUUAUUUGGUUAAUUUUG